CCUACGGGUGGCAGCAGUGGGGGAUAUUGCACAAUGGGGGAAACCCUGAUGCAGCGAUGCCGCGUGAGUGAAGAAGGCCUUCGGGUCGUAAAGCUCUGUUGCGGGGGAAAAAAGGCAGCAUCAGGAAAUGGGUGCUGACUGAUGGUGCCCCGCCAGAAAGUCACGGCUAACUACGUGCCAGCAGCCGCGGUAAUACGUAGGUGGCGAGCGUUAUCCGGAAUGAUUGGGCGUAAAGGGUGCGCAGGCGGUCCUGCAAGUCUGGAGUGAAACGCAUGAGCUCAACUCAUGCAUGGCUUUGGAAACUGGAGGACUGGAGAGCAGGAGAGGGCGGUGGAACUCCAUGUGUAGCGGUAAAAUGCGUAGAUAUAUGGAAGAACACCAGUGGCGAAGGCGGCCGCCUGGCCUGUUGCUGACGCUGAGGCACGAAAGCGUGGGGAGCAAAUAGGAUUAGAUACCCUAGUAGUC
rnacentral:rRNA from 1 species